GUCUAGCCCCGAUAGCAGCGGCAUCCUUUUGGACUAUAGGCCAAAAAGAUAAAGCGAAUAGCGGGACAAAAU
rnacentral:sRNA from 10 species